rnacentral:rRNA from 1 species
CAGAGGGGGCAAGCGUUGUUCGGAAUUACUGGGCGUAAAGGGCGCGUAGGCGGCCUGCUAAGUCGAACGUGAAAUCCCUGGGCUCAACCCAGGAACUGCGUCCGAUACUGGUUGGCUUGAAUCCGGGAGAGGGAUGUGGAAUUCCAGGUGUAGCGGUGAAAUGCGUAGAUAUCUGGAGGAACACCGGUGGCGAAGGCGGCAUCCUGGACCGGCAUUGACGCUGAGGCGCGAAAGCCAGGGGAGCAAACGGGAUUAGAUACCCCGGUAGUCCUGGCCCUAAACGAUGAAUGCUUGGUGUGGCGGGUAUCGAUCCCUGCCGUGCCGAAGCUAACGCAUUAAGCAUUCCGCCUGGGGAGUACGGUCGCAAGGCUG